GAUGAACGCUGGCGGCGUGCCUAAUACAUGCAAGUCGAGCGAACAGACGAGGAGCUUGCUCCUCUGAGAUUAGCGGCGGACGGGUGAGUAACACGUGGAUAACCUGCCUAUAAGACUGGGAUAACUUCGGGAAACCGGAGCUAAUACCGGAUAAUAUCUUGAACCGCAUGGUUCAAGAGUGAAAGACGGUCUUGCUGUCACUUAUAGAUAGAUCCCCGCUGCAUUAGUUAGUUGGUAAGGUAACGGCCUACCAAGGCAACGAUGCUUAGCCGACCUGGGAGGGUGAUCGGCCACACUGGAACUGAGACACGGUCCAGACUCCUACGGGAGGCAGCAGUAGGGAAUCUUCGGCAAUGGGCGAAAUCCUGACGGAGCAACGCCGCUUGGGUGAUGAAGGUCUUCGGAUCGUAAAACUCUUUUAUUAGGGAAGAACAUAGGUGUAAUUAACUGUGCACCUCGUGACGGUACCUAAUCAGAAAGCCACGGCUAACUACGUG
rnacentral:rRNA from 1 species